UACAGAGGGUGCGAGCGUUAAUCGGAAUUACUGGGCGUAAAGCGUGCGUAGGCGGUUAUUUAAGUCAGAUGUGAAAGCCCCGGGCUCAACCUGGGAAUUGCAUUUGAGACUGAAUAGCUAGGGUGCGGUAGAGGGAAGCGGAAUUUCCGGUGUAGCGGUGAAAUGCGUAGAUAUCGGAAGGAACAUCAGUGGCGAAAGCGGCUUCCUGGACCAGCACCGACGUUCAGGCACGAAAGCGUGGGGAGCAAACAGG
rnacentral:rRNA from 1 species